rnacentral:rRNA from 1 species
AUGGCCGAGUACAUCCGCCUCCGCGCCGCGUGCAAGGAGUGGAGGAGAUGCACCGCCGACCCGCGCGAGGGAUGCAAUCACCUAGACCCCCGCUUCCGGCCGCGCCGCUGGAUCAUGCUGUCCAACCGCACCAACGGCGACGGCCGCCGCUUCCUCAACCUCUCCACCGGCGCCAGCGCCCGCGUCGACCUCCCGGAGCUGUCCCGACACCAUCUCGAGGCCAGCACCGAGGGCCUCCUGCUCCUGCGCGACAAGGCGAGCCACGCCGUGGUCAUGGACGUGAUCAGGGUGGAGCACCAUGUGAAGGCGCAACGGUGGAGCCUGAUCCAGGUGUUUGAGGUGGAUGUGGCCGGGAAGAGACUUGUUCCGGCGGAGGACAUUGGCCGGCACCGCGCCGUGCUUGUCGGGGACGUGGCAUGCUUCUCCCUCUUGGCCAGGAGGUUUCCAUGCGUGGCAGGGAACGCCGUGUACAUGGGGGCGCGCGGUGCCUGCUGCCCUCCCGUCGGCGUGCGGUAUCUGGCGGACAAGGCUGCUGAUCCAUCGUUUGUGUUCACCACCGACGCGCCAGGAUUUCUAGACUGUAUAUCAGUGAAACAAUACCGCCAGAAGAUACCGGAGCUGAAUCUGGUGCCUCUUGCUCGCCCUUGUACGCUCCAAGAGUACCUCGUCUGUUGCGCAGGCCUCCUCGGCGGCCUCAAAGACUAA